AGUGCGUCUUCGCACUUACGCGGAGCGGUAAUGUGAGGAAGCCUCCCGCCAAACAGAUGAGGGAGGAGGAGGAGGGGAGAGGCCAGAGAGAGAAGCGGCUUUCGGGAAGGAAAGUGUGAUCUAUUUUUUUUUUUUUCUUCUCCAGAAUGACCCUCUAUUUGGAUUUGGAUUACACAAAGUUUAACGUUUUUUGGAAAAAUCCUACCUAGGUAAUGUGUAGUUCUCAAUGCAUCAUGUCAGGCAGCUUAUGAUGCCAAUUUGUCCCAUG
rnacentral:misc_RNA from 1 species